rnacentral:tRNA from 1 species
UCGUGGCCAAGUUGGUUAAGGCGCUGGACUGCAAAUCCAGUAUCGUAGGUUCAAAUCCUACCGAG